CUCCUCCCAAGCUGCUUCAGGCUGCUGCCAUGGCCAGCAGAAGUUAAUUCUGGGAGCCCAUGAGAGUGUGAGGGUACAGGAAUCCUUGGAUGAGGAGAGCUGGGUACUGACAGAUUCCAUUCAGAGACCAUGCCCUCCAGAAAUAGACCUGUUAACAAGAACCAAGUCUGACUGAACACCAGAGAGCAAACAGCACGGUCAUCUGAUUGGUCUUCAUGCAUUGCCACAGAAGCUUGGUGAUGGUCUACGCCCAUUGCUGUGAAGAACUUGGGGGCUGAAGCGGGGGCAGGGCCUCUUCCAGGCAGGCCAGCCCAGAGGCUGCACAUCUGUUUUCAAGUGAGCUGGCUACCAUGAAGUACAAACUGUCAGGAAACGCCUCGGGGACGAGCCGAGCCCAGGAAGUCACGGAAAUCCCCGGCCGGCCGCCUGCCACCGAAUGAGAAGGAAGUGGUGUGGUUUGCCCCUCGGAGUUCCCCAGCCGGGGAGGAAAGCACCGCGGGCCUGCGCGGGAGGGCGAGCCUGGGCGGGGCAGGGUGAGGCGGGUGGUGGGCGCGGUCCGCCUGGACGAUUUAAAGGCGUCGUGACACUCAGCCAACCCCAUAGACCGGGCGACAGGUGCCACCCCAGAGAUCGGAGGUCCCUGCGGGCGUGCAGAGCCUGAGGAGCGGGCUGCGGUGAGUACGCGCGCGCGCGCGCGCGCGCGCGCGGAGAGCGAGUGAGCGUCCCUGGGGUGGCUCGAGGGUCGCCAGGGUGGCUGGAUCUCAGGCCUGCAAAAAACGGCUGCUGUGCACCUCUGGUCCUGCCCACUGGCCCUGGCUGCCCAGAGGCAGCUGGGAGACUUGAGACUGUGAGAACCUGGGCUUGGGGAAGCUUGAGCAUGGGAGUGGUUGUUUUCUUAGUAAUCAGCCUGGAAGUACACUAGGACUCUUUCUUUUGGGGGAGGGAUAGGUGUUGGAGACCACUCGCACACUAUAGGUAGGUCCCAGUGGCUUUGAACUCUGGAAAAUCCUCCUGCCUUAACCCCUUGAGUGACGGACUUACAGGUCUGAGUCACUGCACCCAGUUUCUCAGUAGUGCUCUUAAUCUAGUCAGGAAAUGGCUGUGGUCAUUUCUCUGUCUACUACAUGCCAGGGUCUGCCCUAAAGACUUAUGUCACCAACUGUACACUUAAUCACCAAUUGUAAGCAGUGGGCACCGUUAUUAACUCCAUUCUGCAACGACAAAACUGAGGUACUUGUGGUUUUUCUGGGCUUCACUGUGUAUCCCUGACUGGCCUGGAACUGUGUAAGUAGAACAGGAUGGCUUUGAACUCAAGGCAACUUUGAUAUCUACCUGCCUCUGCUUCCGGAGUGCUGGGAUUAAAGGUAUGUCUGGUCUCCUGGUUGUUUCCUUUGUAAAAAGGGACUGACACCCGUCCUAUGAUAUGUGACUUAAUAAAUGAAGGUGCUAUGGACAUGAUGAGCCCUGUCAACUGUGCUAAGAAAUUCAACAAGAAGUUUUGCUGCGAUUAGUAGUGCAGGCCUGUAGUUGUGGUACUUGGGAGUUCAAUGCCAGUCUGGGGUAUAUGUCUCACACGACAGUUACAAGGCUCAGUGUCUUUGCUCGGCCUGUGACUGUGGCUACUACAGAAACUAAAGUAUACUUCCUCUUCUGAAGGAGAAAUAGUCCAAGGUGGAGGGAGAAAGACACAUUUACCCUGCAGUGUCAUACAGCCACCCUUGAGGUCUACAGGAAACGGUAGAGUAAGCAGAGAAGAGACCGGGUUGCCAAGCUGACCCGCAAGGAACCACUGUGAGGGACAGAGGACUCCUACAUACUGAUGUGGACAGGGGCGGGGAUCAGGACAGGUCUAAGAGGAAGUAGGUCCCAGUGGCAGAUGGCAACACUUCCUGUGGAUUUGAUGUUAUGAAUAUGGAGUGUUUGAGGGGUGCUGGCACACAGAAUAUCUGGUUGUGUGGAGAUGUGAUUCACAGGCAAAUGUUCUUUAGGCUUGGUUGGGAGGACCUGACCCGGGAGAAGCUAGAAUAAAAAGCGGUCUUUGAGGUGGUCUUCAUUUGGAAGUUGAGAGGGACUCAGCAUAAGGACUGUGGCGGGACUAGGGUUGUGCAGUGUUUGAGGAGACGUGAGGCAGAGUCUAGUCAAAGCAGUAGGAGAGAGUGGCUCCAUGAGGGGGUAGUUGUUUCUCUGAGGCUGCCAAAAGGCUUGAGACCACAGGCAGGCAGGGGCUGCACCUCUUUUUGAAGAACACAGUUAACUGAGUGAAUGUGGCAAAGAGAGAUUGGAGGAAGGGGCCGAGGCAUGGAGGUAUGUUAGGAUGUAAAGAAAACAAACCCUCUGUUGCUGGGAAGGUGUCUAUGGAAACCAGUGUAGCAUCUCAGAAAACUAAACACUGAACUGCCAUAUGACCCAGCUUUCCCACUCCUUGAUAGGUACAUGGAGGAGUUUAAGACAGCUUGGGAGAAAUUCCUGACUACCCUGUGUCUUAGUCACUGUUCUGUCACUGUGAGGAGACAUGACCAAGACAACUUAUAAAAGAAAGCUUUCACUGGAGGCUUGCUUAUGGUGUCAGAGGCCCACUCCACGAUCAUCAUGAUGGAGCAUGGCAGUUUGCAGGAAGGGACGGUGCUGGAGCAGUAGCUGAGAGAGAGCUACAUCCUGAUCCACAAGCAGCAGGCAGAGGGAAAGCCUGGGCCUGGUGUGGGCUUUUAAAACCUCAAAGCCGACCUCUAGUGACACACCUCCUCCAAUAAGGACACACCUCCUAAUCUUUCCUAAACACUCCACCAACUUGGGACUAAACAGUCAGAUAUAUGAGCGUAUGGGGGCCAUUCUCAUUCAACCCCCCACACUGUUUAUUGUAUCACUAUUCACAACGGGACAGAUUGAAUGCCUGUUAACAGAUAAACGGAUGAAGAAAAUGUGUUUGUGUGUGUGUACACUGGAGUACUAUUCAAUUGUAAAGAGAAAGGUAUAAGCCCUUCAUUAGUAAUUCUAAUAAAGACAAUUAGAAUCUGAGUUGGUGGCUCAUGCCUGUAACCUCAGAACUCAGGAGGUUCAGGCAGCAUACUACUGUUUGAGGCUAGUCUGGGUUACAGACUGAGUACCAAGCUAGCCCUAGCUGUAGCAUAUCUGUCUAAGACAAAACAAAAAAGGCACGUGAGAAGAGUAAAGUAUUAUGACUCUUGAAAUUACUGCAAAGAGCACUGGGGCUGGAGAGAUGGCCCAGUGCAGUCAGAAAUAAAAAGGAAUUUCUAGUUUUGUAAUUUCAUUAUUGUUAUAUAAGAUGUUAAUUUUGGGAAGCUGGGUGCAAAGUAUAUGUGACAUCUGCAAGUUUUUAUAUAUAUGCUCUGGUCUGUAACUCAUGAGUUCUGUGUGAGAUUUCUUGGCUGACAACACCCAGUGCAGCAUUGUUUUCUCAGAGUUGGGGACUGAGGUAGGAGUCUUGAGUAUGCUAUCUGAGUGCCCUACCACUGAGCCCCGCUGACAGCCCGAAUUAGCAUAGCUUCUUGCUACAGACCAGUUUCUGUUUUGUAUAAAGCAUCUUAAGGAAAAGAUCAUGGUGGCACUUGCUUAUAAUCCCAGGAUUUGGGAAACAGACAGGAAAAUCAUGAGUUUGAGGCUGUCUUAGACUACACAGGGAAAUCCCAGUCUCGAAAAAGAGGGAGUAGGGGGAGAAAGAAAAGAAAAAAGACAUUGUAUUAUAAACCUGAGUUGUUUGACUUUAAUUUCUCUAUUUUAAACAGGUUUACAAAGGACACAAACCCUUCUACUACUUGUAGCUUUUUUUCUGUUUUUUUUUUUUCUGUAAACCAAAACAUCUCAAAAUGGAGGCCUAAACCCCUUAAAGGGACUUAGUCUAAUCUUGGGAGGUAGUUUUGUGCAUGGACAGACAAAUUCAGCCCUCAGUUGACUUUCGGGACUGUUGUCUAAAGAUGCUCAUUUGAAGUCUGUAGUCUGAUUGUCUGAGGCGUUGAGUAUUAUGAUUUGGUUGUGAACUUGACUCUAGGAAGGGAAGGAGUUCUGUGGCUGGGCACAGUGAUGAAGCACUCUUCAGAAAGUUGCCUGGCAAUUUCCCACUGGCUGGCACUUUUUAAAAAGUGCCCACAUUCAAGAAAGAUCCAAACAUGAGUGCCGGCUAUCCAGAGGAAAUGAGUAAUCUGCUUUGCACAGUAGUACAGAAGUGUACUCAUGAGGUCACUGACACAUUCAAAGAUUGCAACAAUGACAGAGAACAAACAGGAACAAAAUGUUCUCGUAGGCACAGCAGAUUUAGAGGAAGUAAGACAGACACUACAAGAGAGUUGAGAAACUGUCCACCAUUGGUAUUUUAAAGGUCUACACAGCACAACUUUUAAAUAGACUGUAAGCAUGAGAGUUAUUUUGGCAGAUGAACUAGUUUAUUCAGAAAGAAAUGUCAUAGAACGACCAAGUUUUCAUAACCCUGUGGAGGGGACAGAGAGGUUAGACACAAUGAUUUCUCCUGAGAGAGACUCUUGUUGACAGCUGUGGGAUUUCUCCUGCCAUUUAGAGAUAAUGAGUUGGUGUCCUUGGUAGAGAACCUGCCAUAUCUGUGAACUGCAGGAAGCCACUCCAGCCAGUGGCAGCAAACCCCCAUGCCUUUACACAGGAUGAAUUUGCUAAUGGCUAGUGAGUCCUUCUAUGAGAGACUCUCAAUUUGAAGGUCUCUGUGUUCAGAUGGUAAUAGACUUGUUUGUUUUGAUAAAUAUGUGCUCAGGGAACACACUCUGUGACAUAAUUUCUGAGUUUGGGUCUCAAGCCUACAUUCGUGGCCCACACCAUUAAAUCCCAGCACUCAGAAGGCAGAGGCAGACUGAUUUCUGAGUUUGGGGUUGAGGCCAGCCUGGUCUACAGAGUGAGUUCUAAAACAGCCAGGACUACAUAGAGAAAUCCUGUUUUGAAAAAAUCAAAAAAAGAAGGAAGGAAGGAAGGGAGGGA
rnacentral:lncRNA from 1 species